UACGUAGGGUGCGAGCGUUGUCCGGAAUUAUUGGGCGUAAAGGGCUCGUAGGCGGUCUGUCGCGUCGGCUGUGAAAACCCGGGGCUCAACCCCGGGCCUGCAGUCGAUACGGGCAGACUAGAGUGCGGUAGGGGAGAUUGGAAUUCCUGGUGUAGCGGUGGAAUGCGCAGAUAUCAGGAGGAACACCGAUGGCGAAGGCAGAUCUCUGGGCCGUAACUGACGCUGAGGAGCGAAAGCAUGGGGAGCGAACAGG
rnacentral:rRNA from 1 species